AAAUCCUACGGGGCGCAGCAGUGGGGGAUAUUGCACAAUGGGGGCAACCCUGAUGCAGCGACGCCGCGUGAGCGAUGGAGUACUUCGGUAUGUAAAGCUCUAUCAGCAGGGAAUAGAAAAGAAGGUACCUGAAAAAGAAGCCCCGGCUAACUACGUGCCAGCAGCCGCGGUAAUACGUAGGGGGCAAGCGUUAUCCGGAUUUACUGGGUGUAAAGGGAGCGUAGACGGAAAGGCAAGUCAGAAGUGAAAGCCCAAGGCUCAACCAUGGGACUGCUUUUGAAACUGUCAAACUAGAGUACGGGAGA
rnacentral:rRNA from 1 species